UAGCUCAGUCCGGGAGAGCGUCUCGUUCGCAACGAGAAGGUCGGGGGUUCGAUUCCCCU
rnacentral:tRNA from 1 species